GUGCCAGCCGCCGCGGUAAUACCGGCAGCCCGAGUGAUGGCCGAUCUUAUUGGGCCUAAAGCGUCCGUAGCUGGCCGCGCAAGUCCGUCGGGAAAUCCAGUAGCUCAACUACUGGGCGUCCGGCGGAAACUACAAGGCUUGGGACCGGAAGGCUCGAGGGGUACGUCCGGGGUAGGAGUGAAAUCCCGUAAUCCUGGACGGACCACCGAUGGGGAAACCACGUCAAGAGACCGGACCCGACGGUGAGGGACGAAAGCCAGGGUCUCGAACCGGAUUAGAAACCGUGUAGUCC
rnacentral:rRNA from 1 species